GCGUAACUUGAAGUUGUCCAAAUCACACAGAACCGCGCGAGACCUCAAAACGAUAAAUUGUUGGCAAUAUGGCGGCACAGAGUAGAAUAUUGGUUACGUUUUAAGGGAGGCAGGGAUUUUAGGCAGGAUUUGAUUCAUGAUGUGUGUGUAGAUAUUAAUGUUAGGGAACAAUGUGAGAGUGUACGUUUUAGUAGGAAAACGUAUUACGUGACCCACACUCCGGAACAGAAGAGGGCGGUAAUGCACCAAUAAGCUGGAUGCCAACCGCCGUUAAACUGGAAGGAAGACGAAUAUGACAGCUUGCUGUGAGAGACAACGUAUAUCACAGAUAUAUGACAGAGGAGACGGGCUCUUGUCUGGAUGUUACAGGGACAGAUGAGACACGUGUUUAUCUGCUGUAGAGUAACUGAUGAAGGAAUGCUGCCAUCAAAGGAUUUGUGACAUGAAAAUGUCUGUAGACUGGUGUGUGCACUGAGGAUGGAGAAGACCACAGCAUCAUCCUGGAAAUGAUCGAGAGUCACAAAUGAGACGCUUUAUCACUCCAGCUCUUACCGUCUCAUUAGGACCAGAUGCUGCUGUGGUGUCUUCAUCCUCAGUGACCCCAGAGCCACUGAGAGCAUCUAGAGAAAGACCACAAGACACUGAGGAUGUGAUUUUGGUAAUGUUUGUUCAGCUGGUUAAUGUUUAAACAAUGAAGGCCGACUUUCAGAAGCUUCAAAAGCAUCAUCAAAAAUGUGAUGGAGCUUUUAUCUGAAGUGAUUGACAGUGCUCUUAUUACAGGGGCCUUCAAUCCCCUGAUUAACCUGGAGCCUUGCUCAAGGACAUACUGGUGUUCCUGUGCCUCAAGUGGUAGAGCAUUGCGUUAGCUGUGCAAGGUUUUGGGUUCGAAUACCAGGGAACACAUGUUAGGUAAAAACUGUUAGUCUGAAUGCACUGUAAGUCACUUUGGAUAAAUGUAUAAUUUAUUUAUAAAUUCGAACCACUUCAGUGGUUUAGCCCACUACAAAAGUAAUAAAUCAAUGCCAAUGGAGUGCAGGCACAUGAAAGUUUGGAGCAGACACAGCGGUCAGAUUGUCCUGCACGUGUUCUUCUUCUCUCGCUUCAAGGUUGUGUGUUUCAGAGAGCCGUCAUCAUGGUCUUCCUCAUCCUGUUGCUCAACGACAUCCCUGUUGAGAAGAGUGAGAUUGUGAAGUGCAGCGGCAGAACUGUAUCAGCUGUGUUCAGAUCGCAGUAGGAUGUUGGGUUCACCAUCUCUAAAUACUUGAUUGUUAGAACAAUAAGUUUGAAUGAAGCUUUGUAUCAUGUGUUGUUGACUUGUGCAUGUAUGCAUUUAUUGUGAUGAUAACUUUUAUACAUUAUUUUAAUCAUUUAGACAUGUUUUUUUGUUCUCAGUAAAUAAAAUAUAAAUAUUUUAUCCA